rnacentral:rRNA from 1 species
GGGCGAGCGGGGUCUACCUGCAGUCGACGAACCUUCGGGUUAGUGGCGGACGGGUGAGUAACGCGUGAGAAUCUGCCCUCAGGAGGGGGAUAACGGUUGGAAACGACCGCUAAUACCCCAUAUGCCUACUGGUGAAAUGAAUUUCGCCUGAGGAUGAGCUCGCGUCUGAUUAGCUUGUUGGUGAGGUAAUGGCUCACCAAGGCUUCGAUCAGUAGCUGGUCUGAGAGGAUGAUCAGCCACACUGGGACUGAGACACGGCCCAGACUCCUACGGGAGGCAGCAGUGGGGAAUUUUCCGCAAUGGGCGAAAGCCUGACGGAGCAACGCCGCGUGAGGGACGAAGGCCUCUGGGCUGUAAACCUCUUUUCUCAAGGAAGAAGAUAUGACGGUACUUGAGGAAUAAGCCACGGCUAAUUCCGUGCCAGCAGCCGCGGUAAUACGGGAGUGGCAAGCGUUAUCCGGAAUUAUUGGGCGUAAAGCGUCCGCAGGCGGCUUUUCAAGUCUGCUGUUAAAGCGUGGAGCUUAACUCCAUCAUGGCAGUGGAAACUGAAAGGCUUGAGUAUGGUAGGGGCAGAGGGAAUUCCCGGUGUAGCGGUGAAAUGCGUAGAUAUCGGGAAGAACACCAGUGGCGAAGGCGCUCUGCUGGGCCAUUACUGACGCUCAUGGACGAAAGCCAGGGGAGCGAAAGGGAUUAGAUACCCCUGUAGUCCUGGCCGUAAACGAUGAACACUAGGUGUCGGGGGAAUCGACCCCCUCGGUGUCGUAGCUAACGCGUUAAGUGUUCCGCCUGGGGAGUACGCACGCAAGUGUGAAACUCAAAGGAAUUGACGGGGGCCCGCACAAGCGGUGGAGU